UUACGGUCAUCUCACGUUUAAAACACCAACUCUCGUACGAUCCUCGAAGUUAAGCAGCGUCGAACCUGGUCAGUAUCUAGAUGGGCGACCGCUUGGGAAUACUAGGUUCUGUAAG